CAGACCGGAAGGCAAGGCUAACAAGCCGGGCCGGCUCGUUCAGGAGAUCCAACCAGUUCAUCCUAGAGGAGACCAGUCCUGGGUGUUCUGAUGCUGAGGCUGAAACUCCAAUACUUUGGCCACUUCAUGCGAAGAGUUGACUCAUUGGAAAAGACCCUGAUGCUGGGAGGGAUUGGGGGCAGGAGGAGAAGGGGACGACAGAGGAUGUAAUGGCUGGAUGGCAUCAACAACUCGAUGCACGAGUUCGGGUGAACUCCGGGAGUUGGUGGUGGACAGGGAGGCCUGGUGUGCUGGGAUUCACGCGGUCGCAAGGAGUCAGACACGACUAAGCGACUGAACUGAACUGUCCAACUUUUCCAACACCACUUGCUUGAGACUGUCUUUUCAUAUUCUUGCCUCCUCUGUUGAAGAUUACUUGACUAUAGGUGUACAGGGUUUCUUUCUGAGCUCUCUAUUCUGUUCCACUGGUACAUGCACUGAUUUUGUGCUAACUCCAGGCUGUUUUGAUUACCG
ensembl:lncRNA